rnacentral:rRNA from 1 species
GACGAACGCUGGCGGCGUGCUUAACACAUGCAAGUCGAACGGAAAGGCCCUGCUUUUGUGGGGUGCUCGAGUCGCGAACGGGUGAGUAACGUGUGAAUAACCUGCCCUUGAUUUUGGUAUAACUUCAGGAAACUGGGGCUAAUACCGGAUUGGAGCUCCUGCUGCAUGGUGGGGGUUGGAAAGUUUCGGCGGGUGGGGAUGGACUCGCGGCUGAUCAGCUUGUUGGUGGGGUAGUGGCUUACCAAGGCUUUGACGGGUAGCCGGCCUGAGAGGGUGACCGGCCACAUUGGGACUGAGAUACGGCCCAGACUCCUACGGGAGGCAGCAGUGGGGAAUAUUGCACAAUGGGCGGAAGCCUGAUGCAGCAACGCCGCGUGCGGGAUGACGGCCUUCGGGUUGUAAACCGCUUUCGCCUGUGACGAAGCGUGAGUGACGGUAAUGGGUAAAGAAGCACCGGCUAACUACGUG